rfam:Helianthus annuus linkage group 13, whole genome shotgun sequence.
UACCAUGAUAAGGAAAAUUUCUUUAAAGUUCCUUGAACCUAUCCCAAGCAUCUAAGAAACUUUCACCAUCUUCUUGCUCAAAUCCAUAAAUCUUGCUACGCAAGCA